CGUGACCUACGGGGGGCAGCAGUAGGGAAUCUUCCACAAUGGGCGAAAGCCUGAUGGAGCAACGCCGCGUGGGUGAAGAAGGUGUUCGGAUCGUAAAACCCUGUUGUUAGAGAAGAAAGUGCGUGAGAGUAACUGUUCACGUUUCGACGGUAUCUAACCAGAAAGCCACGGCUAACUACGUGCCAGCAGCCGCGGUAAUACGUAGGUGGCAAGCGUUAUCCGGAUUUAUUGGGCGUAAAGGGUACGCAGGCGGUCUUUUAAGUCUGAUGUGAAAGCCUUCGGCUUAUAUGGAGUAGUGC
rnacentral:rRNA from 1 species